GAUGAACGCUGGCGGCGUGCCUAAUACGUGCAAGUCGAGCGAACAGAUAAGGAGCUUGCUCCUUUGACGUUAGCGGCGGACGGGUGAGUAACACGUGGGUAACCUACCUAUAAGACUGGGAUAACUUCGGGAAACCGGAGCUAAUACCGGAUAACAUUUGGAACCGCAUGGUUCUAAAGUGAAAGAUGGUUUUGCUAUCACUUAUAGAUGGACCCGCGCCGUAUUAGCUAGUUGGUAAGGUAACGGCUUACCAAGGCGACGAUACGUAGCCGACCUGAGAGGGUGAUCGGCCACACUGGAACUGAGACACGGUCCAGACUCCUACGGGAGGCAGCAGUAGGGAAUCUUCCGCAAUGGGCGAAAGCCUGACGGAGCAACGCCGCGUGAGUGAUGAAGGGUUUCGGCUCGUAAAACUCUGUUAUUAGGGAAGAACAAAUGUGUAAGUAACUGUGCACGUCUUGACGGUACCUAAUCAGAAAGCCACGGCUAACUACGUG
rnacentral:rRNA from 1 species